rnacentral:rRNA from 1 species
UAAUACGUAGGACCCAAGCGUUGUCCGGAUUUACUGGGUGUAAAGGGUGCGCAGGCGGAACUGUGCGUCGAGGGUUAAAGACUUAGGCUCAACCUAAGGAAUGCCCUCGAUACGGCAGAUCUUGAGUGCGAGAGAGGAUAGUGGAAUUCCUGGUGUAGCGGUGAAAUGCGUAGAUAUCAGGAGGAACACCAGUGGCGAAGGCGGCUAUCUGGCUCGCAACUGACGCUCAGGCACGAAAGCGUGGGGAGCAAACAGGAUUAGAUACCCUGGUAGUCCACGCCUUAAACGAUGUAUGCUUGGUGUUGGGACAUCAGUCUCAGUGCCGGAGGAAACCCAUUAAGCAUACCACCUGGGGAGUACGAUCGCAAGGUUG